rnacentral:rRNA from 1 species
ACCUCGGAUCAGGUAGGACUACCCGCU